rnacentral:rRNA from 1 species
ACGUUAGCGGCGGACGGGUGAGUAACACGUGGGUAACCUACCUAUAAGACUGGGAUAACUCCGGGAAACCGGGGCUAAUACCGGAUAACACAUGAAACCGCAUGGUUUCAUGAUGAAAGACGGUUUUGCUGUCACUUAUAGAUGGACCCGCGGCGUAUUAGCUAGUUGGUAAGGUAACGGCUUACCAAGGCAACGAUACGUAGCCGACCUGAGAGGGUGAUCGGCCACACUGGAAACUGAGACACGGUCCAGACUCCUACGGGAGGCAGCAGGC